UGCGGGAUGGAGCAGCCAGGUAGCUCGUCGGGCUCAUAACCCGAAGGUCGCAGGUUCGAAUCCUGCUCCCGCUA
rnacentral:tRNA from 1 species